rnacentral:lncRNA from 1 species
UGGUGUUUGGGUCGGGGUGGGCUAUCUCUGUAAAGAGCCAGAGACUGAAUAUCUGCAGCUUUUCAGGCCACACAGUCUCUAUCAAAACUACUGAACUCCUGCACGACCUCAUGAAAGCCACAUGUAAACCAACGAGCUAAGGAUAGCUUUUAUAUUUUUAAAUGGUUGCAAAAAAUUAAAGUAGAGGCCGGGCCUGGUGGCUCACGCUUGUAAUCCCAGCACUU